rfam:Beta vulgaris subsp. vulgaris chromosome 1, whole genome shotgun sequence.
AAACCAUGAGGAGGACGAAGACGUUGUAGAUCCUUGAACCUCUCCCAAGCUUCAUAGAAGGACUCACCAUCGUCUUGGGUGAAAGUGACUAUGGCAUGUCGUAU